CAAGCAAGAAAUUUUUAAGAAUUAAGUCUUGAGUCGAUUUAUUUUGAUUUAAUCAUGGGCUCAUUUCAUAUUUUUUUUUGAAAUUCAAUAUAUUACUAAUGAUUUUGUUUUUUUGUUAUUUGUGCUUCGCAGAUGCAAAUGUAAAAAAGAAAAGAAAAUCUAUUGAAAAAUCGAGUCAGUAAUUUACCAGAUAUCAAAUAUGGAAGUCGGUGGAGGCAUUUUAGUAGAUUGUGCAGUUUUUGGGAUGUGUCUUCCAAGGUCAAGGCAUUUUGGGUAGAAGGUGGAGAUGCAGGCAACCACAACAAAUCAUGCUUGCUGAAAUGGCAGAUACCCACAUUGUAGAAGUCCCAGGAGAUGAAGAGCAUCAACACAAGCUCUCAUGUGCUUUGACCACAAUCACUGCAAUCCAAACCCAUCCGCUGAUGGAUCUCAUGUGCUACUAAUCGCUUUGCUCUCUUUGCUACCACCGGCUUCAAAUAUCCCACAACCAUCUUCUUCAUCAUCAUCAUCUUUUCUUUUAAAAAAGAGAAAGAAAAGCCUAAAUUGAACAUAAAUUCCAAUCUGCCAUUCUCAAAAUCUACCUCUUUAAAGUGCCAUUAAACCUCAAAUUGGAUCCUAGAGUAGAAACCCACCUUGCCACUCGUCAUCAUAGGCAAUUUACUCUUUCAUUUAUUUAAUGUGUUCUUAUUUUUCACGUA